UGCAAGUCGAACGCUUCUUUUUCCACCGGAGCUUGCUCCACCGGAAAAAGAGGAGUGGCGAACGGGUGAGUAACACGUGGGUAACCUGCCCAUCAGAAGGGGAUAACACUUGGAAACAGGUGCUAAUACCGUAUAACAAUCGAAACCGCAUGGUUUUGAUUUGAAAGGCGCUUUCGGGUGUCGCUGAUGGAUGGACCCGCGGUGCAUUAGCUAGUUGGUGAGGUAACGGCUCACCAAGGCCACGAUGCAUAGCCGACCUGAGAGGGUGAUCGGCCACAUUGGGACUGAGACACGGCCCAAACUCCUACGGGAGGCAGCAGUAGGGAAUCUUCGGCAAUGGACGAAAGUCUGACCGAGCAACGCCGCGUGAGUGAAGAAGGUUUUCGGAUCGUAAAACUCUGUUGUUAGAGAAGAACAAGGAUGAGAGUAACUGUUCAUCCCUUGACGGUAUCUAACCAGAAAGCCACGGCUAACUACGUGCCAGCAGCCGCGGUAAUACGUAGGUGGCAAGCGUUGUCCGGAUUUAUUGGGCGUAAAGCGAGCGCAGGCGGUUUCUUAAGUCUGAUGUGAAAGCCCCCGGCUCAACCGGGGAGGGUCAUUGGAAACUGGGAGACUUGAGUGCAGAAGAGGAGAGUGGAAUUCCAUGUGUAGCGGUGAAAUGCGUAGAUAUAUGGAGGAACACCAGUGGCGAAGGCGGCUCUCUGGUCUGUAACUGACGCUGAGGCUCGAAAGCGUGGGGAGCAAACAGGAUUAGAUACCCUGGUAGUCCACGCCGUAAACGAUGAGUGCUAAGUGUUGGGAGGGUUUCCGCCCUUCAGUGCUGCAGCUAACGCAUUAAGCACUCCGCCUGGGGAGUACGACCGCAAG
rnacentral:rRNA from 1 species